CAGAUAGGUCAGGUAUUGUCGAGGGGAACUGGCAAAGUUCACAUCUUUUCCCAAAUUCCUGUCAGGUUCCUGUUUUGAAAUCCUAUGCAACACAAUCAAGGAAAAGCUUCAUUCAACACUGAAUGAAAAUCAGGCAAAUCAUCAUUAGAGCCAAAUACUAUUUUUCAACUGCUGAUCAAGUUGGAAAUCUGGGUUUACUAGAUCCCUGAAACCUUCCUACAGACCUUCAAUGGGGUUAUGGAAUAAGAACCCCUGGUCCUCUGUGUCAUUUUAUCCAAUUCUGGUUUUAAACGGAGAUGCCAAGGUUGGAAUGUCGGACAUCUUUGAUAUCAAGAACUGUCUGUACAAUGCUGAUAAGGCAUGGCCACCCUGGCCCUUCAUGAGCCAUCUGCUGUCCAUGUGAAGCCAUUUUUCAAGGAUCUCAUGAAAAAAACCACAAGUCUGAAACUUUCUAUCCUAAAGAAGACUGAUGACUAACAUAUGAUGUUUACUUCAGCCAGAGCUUUAAAGAAGUAGAGGAAUACCCUGGGAUCAGAGGUGGUAUUCAGCCGGUUCAUAUCGGUUCGCGUGAACUGGUAGCGGCAAGGUGGACCCGUCCCGCCCACCAUCUCCACUGUAAUGCCAUCUAUUUAGCCACGUUUUUGAAGCCCGGCGCAUGCCCAGGAGGCAUGCAUGCGAGCAAAGCACAUGCAUGGAAGGGUGGGUACAUGCGGCCACGCGGCGAACCGGUGGUAAGAAUUUGUGAAACCCACCGCUGCCUGGGAUAAUGUAUUUCAACAACACAUAUCUUGAAUCUACUCAAAUAAAAUUUCAAGUUAUUGGGCAGAUUCAUUUAGAAAAAAGUCACCUCUGCCAUCGUGUCAGAAUUUUGUGAGUUGCCAGACUUAUCCUGCAUAAUGAUAUUCACAGCAAACAGGCCUACAGCUCCAGAUGAGCCUCCAAGCAAAGGUAUGGGUAACAAUAAUUAAUUCAUUGUCCUGUUCAGCAGCACAAUCAUGCUACCGUUGUAGAUAGACAUCUUCAGUGAAGCUUUCAGGUGUUUCUCUAAAAACUAUAUCAAUGCAAUAUAUACUCUAAGUAGCUAUGACUAAGCCAUGUCUUAUUGUCGCAAUUGUCAUAUUAGUUCCCUGGUAUGUAGAGUAAACAGAGGGAGCAUUGCACAUAAGCAAGAUCUCAACAGAUCAGGAGGAAAUGUCAUUAUAUAUCAGUGAUGGAUAAUUAGACCUCUUUGGGUAUUGUCAGUGGUGAGAUUCAGCCAGUUCGCACCACUUUGGCAGAACCGGUUGUUAAUUUUCUGAGCAAUUUGGUGAACUGGUUGUUGAAAGAAAUCAUUAGGGCAGAGAACUGGUUGUUAAAUUAUUUGAAACCCACCACUAGGUAUUGUAUAUGCGCUGAAGAGAUAUUGGCAUAUAAAUAUGUCUAGGUGUGUUAACUUCUCUUCAGCUACAAUCAUUCUUGAAAAUCUUAAAAGUAUUAGGUUCAGCUUUCUCUCUGUUAAAUCCUGCUUCAUGGCAAGCAGACACUGAAAAGUUUGUUGUCCCUAGUAUACCACAUCUUCAAGUAUAUCAUAUUCAACUACUGCUAGAGGCCCCAGUGCUGCAUUUUUAAAUCAACUGACAUAUCAUGAAUAUUUUUGGGUCACCGUGACAGGCUUGGACCCAGAUAUUCCACAGCUGCAACUGCUGGAUUUUCUUCCCAUUCUAACUCUACUUCCUCAUUGUCCUGGUUGCCCUCCAUAAUCAGCAUCACUCCAUCACACAAGAAUAACAGAAGAUUAAGGAUUCUGUUAGUUAAAUCAGCUUUAAUCAUCCCAAUUGUCAAGCAUUAUGGCUAAUAAUGGACCGUGGAGUUCAACAGCUUUAAGGCAGAUGAGAAAAAGACUUAAUAAAUAGCAUAGUCCUCAGCUCCUAACCAUUGUGCCUCCUUUAAAGAAGCAUUAUUACAAAUAUGUUAUAUAAAGACUGCUAAGACUUAGAUAAAGGUAGUGUUCAAACUUUUGACAAUAUUUUUAAAUAACUGAUUUCUAUAGCAUAUCAAAAUAGGUCUUAUCUUCCCUUGAGUUCACAGAUAUCAUUUCACAGUUAAAUAAGUCCUUAUCAAAAAAGGCAGCGAUCACAAAUUAAUUAAAUUUAUAUACUUUGAGAUCAUUAAUCCUUGCAAUAUGCUAUAAACAAAUACAGAUCUGGAUUUAAGGAACACUAUGGGAAUGUCACAUAUCUAUGACAUUUAUAUAUUUGGUUUCAAUUCUGGCAUUUCUAGAAGGCAAUUGUGGCUUAACACACCUGAACAGUUCUGUGUAAUAGUAGUUUUUCAAUAUGAUGCAGGAGAAAAAUAAUAAGUAGCUUUUACCAAGAGUAGAGGAUUGGAGAUAGAAGGGAAGAGAAGGAAAAGUAGAGGUUUUUAAAGCCAUUCCCAAAUGAAGUGGUCCAAAAAAAAUCAAUUUGUAAUUAUCUGCUAAAAAAAAAAUCUAAAGGCUUUUCUUUGAUAAGGGUGGUAAUACAAAGGGCCAUAAUGUGAAUUAUUUCAAAGAAUAAAAGGCGCAUUGUCUUCAUGACCUAUAUAGCUUUUAGUAAGCUUUCACUCAAAAUUACAUUUUAUACAACUCAUGAAUGGCUUUUCCUUCCUCUUGUAAAAGUGGGGGAUGGGUUAUUCCAUCUGGUAAACUUUCAAGCUUAAGAUUCAGGUUUUUUCCUAUUUUGGUGACAUUUUGCCCCCCCCCCUUGAAAAUAAAGGUGCUGGCUUUGCUGAAAAGAUGGCAGUUUGGCGAAACAAGCUGCCCUUUCAGAUAAGAAUUUGAAAAAACAGAUAUGUUUGACUUGCCACUUCUGCAGAAAUUUAACUUCCUUUAGAUUUUUUUUUUUUAAUAAAAGGAAAACGGAUAAUUUUAAGAAUAAGAUAUAAAACAACUACAGUAUAAAAUAAACAUAUAGAUAAUAAAAUAAAAUAAACAUAUAGAUGAGUACGCAA